rnacentral:rRNA from 1 species
UGGGGAAUAUUGGACAAUGGGGGAAACCCUGAUCCAGCGACGCCGCGUGUGUGAAGAAGGCCUGCGGGUUGUAAAGCACUUUCGGUGGGAACGAAAUGUGCCGGGCUAAUACCCCGGUAAGCUGACGUUACUCAAUGAAGAAGCACCGGCUAACUCUGUGCCAGCAGCCGCGGUAAUACAGAGGGUGCGAGCGUUAAUCGGAAUUACUGGGCGUAAAGCGUGCGCAGGCGGUUUUGUAAGACAGAUGUGAAAUCCCCGGGCUUAACCUGGGAACUGCAUUUGUGACUGCAAGGCUAGAGUACGGCAGAGGGGGGUAGAAUUCCACGUGUAGCAGUGAAAUGCGUAGAUAUGUGGAGGAAUACCGAUGGCGAAGGCAGCCCCCUGGGUCGAUACUGACGCUGAGGCACGAAAGCGUGGGGAUCAAACAGGAUUAGAUACCCACGUAGUCCCUGAGCGGGCUGGCAAGGCGCAU